AGGGCUAUAGCUCAGUUAGGUAGAGCACCUCGUUUACACAGGUCUACGGUUCGAGUCCGUAUAGCCCUA
rnacentral:tRNA from 2 species